UGAUGUUUCGGUGCGAAGGAGAGCAUGUAGCUCGUCUAAGAGAAGUUAAAUUUUCGCGGUCCUCUCUGGAUCAUAAGGCGGCAUUUAUAGUGGACACGCCAUCGAAGAUUUUCCUUUUCAGUGGUUAUAAUUCUUGUGUACAAACAAGGGCUAUGGCACUAGAUGUCAUAAAGCAUCUGAGAGAAACCCAACACUGUGGCAGAUGUGACAUCGGGAUAAUAGGUAGUGUUGAAUGAAAUUAUAUCUUCCAUUAGCAAGGAUAGAAUAUGCUAAGAUUUUUAUUUUUGUUUGUUACUGAUUGUAGAUGAUGGAAAGCUUGCUGGUGAUUCAGAUGCUGGUGAGUUUUGGAACCUCUUUGGAGGCUAUGCGCCUAUUCCUCGUGAUGUACCAGAUGCAGACAAUGGGGAACCGAUGGCUACCUCACCCACGAAACUUUUUUGGUGACUACCCCCAGCUUAAUUCAGACUCCAUUUGUAACCUUGAGUUAGUAUGUAAAACUAUAUUUGUACACUUUCCUGUAUGUAGGAUUAACAAGAGAAACCUUGUUCCCAUGGAGGCACAUUUUUUAGAAAGAGAAAUGCUGAAGUCCGACAGAAGUUACAUACUCGACUGUGGAGCUGAAAUAUUCUUGUGGAUAGGGAUGACAACACUAGUUUCAGAGAGGAAGACAUCUGCUACAACAUUAGAGGAAUAUGUACACUUACAAGGCAGAUCAUCAAUUGGUCAUACUGUUAUAAUGACCGAAGGUCAUGAAGUUGCCGACUUUAAGCUGCAUUUUCAGCACUGGCCUAAGAAUGGUGUGCAGAAGUUGCACGAGGCAGGGCGGGAGAA